GGACUACCAGGGUUUCUAAUCCCAUUCGCUACCCUGGCUUUCGUGUGUGAGCGUCAGAUUCGGGCCAGUGUGCUGCCUUCGCCUUUGGUGUUCCCCACGAUAUCAACGGAUUUCACCCCUACACCGUGAGUUCCACACACCUCUCCCGACCUCUAGUCAUGCCGUUUCGCUUGCGGGCCGGAGGUUGAGCCCCCGGAUUUUACAAACGACUAACAUGACCGCCUUGACACCCUUUACGCCCAGUGAUUCCGGAUAAUGCUUGGGGCCUCUGUAUUACCGCGGCUGCUGGCAC
rnacentral:rRNA from 1 species